CACUGACUCUGGCCGACUCUUGCAGAAGACACUGGUUAGAGAGGACAGUCAGGAGGGGCAACAUCAGGCUUCAAGCUGUGUGAAAGGGGAAGUUUUGCUCAGCAGCAAGUUCUCUCUGGAUUAAGAGUUUUGUGAUUGGCAGCCACAGUGAACUAGAGAGACGCGUCUGCCAGGGAGAGCCUGCACCUCCCACAAGGUGUCGUCUGUGCUGGCUUCUGGAGCCUUUGACCACUGCUUUCCAUCUGGGAUUCUGUGUUCACAGGGGGAACAAAAGGCCUGAGAAACACCACGUACGUGACUUGGUCUUCAUGGUCUCUUCUCUCCUGUAAUUGUAGGUGGCCUCAGGAAAGGAGUCUGUAUUCUGCAAUCACUGACUUGCUGCUGAAAAAUCCAGAUGAAAAGAAAGGCGGGGCUUUCCUGCUGGCUUCAGUCUGGAGAUCUGACUCCAGCUUCCUGCUGGCCACCAGGCAGGGGUGGUGGAAGGAGCGGUUUUUGCAGGUAAAGAACCGUGGCCUCAUCGUACAGUCCCUGGAGCAGCCAUGUCCCUCUAGGUGGGUGGGUUUUUGUGCAUGGGGCUCUGGGGGGUCUGCGUGGGUGUCGUGUGGUGUGACUGUGAAUGUGUGUGGGAGUGUGUCUCCUCAGGGGAUGUGUCCCACCUACACAGCACAGGUGCCUCAUCUACAUUCUCCAAGGGAACCCCACCGCCGCUGUGGGCUUUCCACACAUUGACGCAUUCAUGGCUCACCACAGCCUUGCCCACGGGCUUUCCAGCCCCACGCCUCGGAAAAUGAGGUACAGAGAAUGACCCAGGCUCCUGAGCUUCUCUGUGAGAGAGCUGCAGGGUGAGUGGUGGGGGGCGGGGCAUGUGGAAGCUCAAGACUACUGGGUGGCAUUCAUCACUCAGCGGCAGGCUCACUGGUCGCAGUGCAGGGGUGACCCACCCCCAUGUAUAUGCCUGGAAGUACCUGGGCAUACGGAGUUCCAAGACACCACUCAUGGUUAAAAGGCGGCCCCCGUGCUCACAUAGCUGAUGUCAUCUCUCUGUGUACAUACCACAGAUUUUUGCCCAGCCAUUAGCCUAAAAUGUCCAAGUCAUGGAAACAGAGUAGAAGGGUGGUGUCGGAGAAUGAAAAAGAUGGGGAAGACGGUGAAAGGGCACAAAGUUUCAGUGAUGCGAUGAGUACGUUCUGGAGACCUGACACGCAGCAUGGUGACCGUAGUUCAUAGUGAUUAAUUGCACGCUCGAGAUCUAUGAGAAAGUGCACCUCGAAUAUCCUCACCACACACACAAAUGGCAACAAUGUGAAGCGAUGGAUACGUUCAUUAGCUUGAUGGUGGUCAUUUCAUAGUUUGCAUAUAUCAAAACUUCACAUUGUACACUUUAUAUAUACACAUUUUAAAAUUUUUCAAUUAUGCCUCAAUAAAGCCAGGAAAAAAUCCUCAGAAAUACUCAAAUUCUGUGAGCUACCCAUGGACACUGAUGAAUUAGAACCAGCAGGACCCCUGGUGGUCAGUGAGGCCUGUCAGCCUCGUUGAAGCUCCCUGGUGCAGCAGAGUUAGAGCAUCAGCUCCCGGCCCACACCUCCCUCUAUGAGGAGCCGCCCUUCCUGCCUGUGUGAGCAGGAGCGCCUCUGACCAAGGAGCACAGACGUGGGAUAGAAAUGCAAGCCUGCGAGCAGACCUACCACAUGGGAAACAGCGGGUAUUUUUAAGUGACCUGACGUUGUAUUUUCAAAAUAUCUGUAACUGAUUAUCUUUAAGAAAUAGGCU
rnacentral:lncRNA from 1 species